CCUGGCCUCACCAGUCUCGGAGGCGGUCUCCACCUUCGCUGGGUCGGACCAGGCGCUCCAGGGGCCGUGAGAAAGGGAAUAAGGGAUUUGCGGGAAGGGAGACCCUGCCCAGAGGUGCCCCGCCCCUGCUGAGCUCACUGGAAUCCCCAAAUAUGCUCUUGCAUGGCCUCCCUGCCCGGAGGAUAUAGACCCAUGUCCUCGGCGCUGCCUGAGAGGCCCGGCGUGGCCCGGCCUCCCUCUCCUCUCCUCUCACAGAGCUGAGUUCUCCUUCCUUCCAGCCACACGGAACUAUCUGCAGCUCCUGAACAUAACACGCGUCACAGGUGCCGUUUCCUGUGCCAGGAUCGAUUCCUCUGGUGAACUUCUGCUUCCUCUUCAUGGCCCAGAUAAAAACGUCAGUUUCUCUGGAAAACUUUCCUGCCCCAACUCCUGUUUAAGUGUUCCCCAGGUCCCCUCUGUCUCUCAGAGCACAUCCACUGUAUUUUGUUGUUUACAUAUCUGUCCCCAUCAGGGACAACAUU